CUAACUCUCCCAUUGAGUGACAAGCCUCUUGUUUAGUUUUCUGAAAUUGAACUGUAGAACAGGCAAACUUAUUAAUUUGAUGAAAAGAAAUUUUAAAUAUAACUUAUAAAUAAAAGCUUUCGCGGAUUGCAUCCUCCUUAGAACGGAGAAGAAAAGGUAUUGCCCAUCCAGACGCCUGGGUGAAUUCUAGGAUUUUGGACGAGACUUUCAUGCUGACAAUUAGGAAUGGGAAAGAAAUGACCAGAUGAUCCAGCAGAGCAAGGAGAAGUGUCGGUUCUACAGGAAUCAGCAGAAGAACAUUUUGGAAUCGGUUACAGAGGUCAUCGACAUUGAUGCCAUCAUCGAACAAGCAGACGAGGCUGGGCGUCUCUUCUUCUCCAACCACCUGCCCCUGACCUCCCCAUUAGUCUACUUGAGGAAAUGAGAAGCUUGUCCUCACACCCAUUGUGAAGAAUCUUGGAUACCUGGAGACAGCUUGGGCGAGUUGUUGAGUAGUGAUUUGCUUGUGAUGGUUGUUGAUUAGCGAGAGUCCACUUUUUUACCGCUGUCCUGAUCUCGAGGUAAGGAGACUAUUUUUCUUGAUUGAUGAGUUUUGGAUUGUGAACUCAAAGUAAGCUGACAAAUCUAGAGACUUGAGAUCUUUCUUGUCCAUGGCAACUCUAAACACAAUUGAUGUGUAAAUGCUUUGCGUUUGCAAAAGUGGAAUGAGACCUCUUUAAAAGUGAUGCAUACAUUGAUUAACAGAAUAUAAUGAUGUUUGGGGUUACAUGAUACUUUA